rnacentral:rRNA from 1 species
AGAGCGAACGCUGGCGGCAGGCCUAACACAUGCAAGUCGAGCGCCCCGCAAGGGGAGCGGCAGACGGGAGAGUAACACGUGGGAACGUACCCUUCAGUUCGGAACAACCCAGGGAAACUUGGGCUAAUACCGAAUACGUCCGUAAGGAGAAAGAUUUAUCGCUGAAGGAUCGGCCCGCGUCUGAUUAGCUUGUUGGUGAGGUAACGGCUCACCAAGGCGACGAUCAGUAGCUGGUCUGAGAGGAUGAUCAGCCUCACUGGGACUGAGACACGGCCCAGACUCCUACGGGAGGCAGCAGUGGGGAAUAUUGGACAAUGGGCGCAAGCCUGAUCCAGCCAUGCCGCGUGGGUGAUGAAGGCCCUAGGGUUGUAAAGCCCUUUCGGCGGGGAAGAUAAUGACGGUACCCGCAGAAGAAGCCCCGGCUAACGUUCGUGCCAGCAGCCGC